UACGUAGGGGGCAAGCGUUGUCCGGAAUCAUUGGGCGUAAAGAGCGUGUAGGCGGCCCGAUAAGUCCGCUGUGAAAGUCCAGGGCUCAACCCUGGAAUGCCGGUGGAAACUGUCGGGCUAGAGUCCGGAAGAGGCGAGUGGAAUUCCUGGUGUAGCGGUGAAAUGCGCAGAUAUCAGGAGGAACACCGGUGGCGAAGGCGGUUCUCUGGGCCAAACCUG
rnacentral:rRNA from 1 species